rnacentral:rRNA from 1 species
UACGGGGGGGGCAAGCGUUGUUCGGAAUUACUGGGCGUAAAGGGCUCGUAGGUGGCUAACUAAGUCGGACGUGAAAUCCCUCAGCUUAACUGGGGAACUGCGUCCGAUACUGGAUGGCUUGAGUUUGGGAGAGGGAUGCGGAAUUCCAGGUGUAGCGGUGAAAUGCGUAGAUAUCUGGAGGAACACCGGUGGCGAAGGCGGCAUCCUGGACCAACACUGACACUGAGGAGCGAAAGCCAGGGGAGCAAACGGG